GACGAACGCUGGCGGCGUGCUUAACACAUGCAAGUCGAACGGAAAGGCCCUGCUUUUGUGGGGUGCUCGAGUGGCGAACGGGUGAGUAACACGUGAGUAACCUGCCCUUGACUUUGGGAUAACUUCAGGAAACUGGGGCUAAUACCGGAUAGGAGCUCCUGCUGCAUGGUGGGGGUUGGAAAGUUUCGGCGGUUGGGGAUGGACUCGCGGCUUAUCAGCUUGUUGGUGGGGGAGUGGCUUACCAAGGCUUUGACGGGUAGCCGGCCUGAGAGGGUGACCGGCCACAUUGGGACUGAGAUACGGCCCAGACUCCUACGGGAGGCAGAAGUGGGGAAUAUUGCACAAUGGGCGGAAGCCUGAUGCAGCAACGCCGCGUGCGGGAUGACGGCCUUCGGGUUGUAAACCGCUUUCGCCUGCGACGAAGCGUGAGUGACGGUAAUGGGUAAAGAAGCACCGGCUAACUACGUG
rnacentral:rRNA from 1 species